GUUAAGCGACUAAGCGUACACGGUGGAUGCCCUGGCAGUCAGAGGCGAUGAAGGGCGUGCUAAUCUGCGAUAAGCGCCGGUAAGGUGAUAUGAACCGUUAUAACCGGCGAUACCCGAAUGGGGAAACCCAGUGUGACUCGUCACACUAUCAUUAACUGAAUCCAUAGGUUAAUGAGGCGAACCGGGGGAACUGAAACAUCUAAGUACCCCGAGGAAAAGAAAUCAACCGAGAUUCCCCCAGUAGCGGCGAGCGAACGGGGAGGAGCCCAGAGCCUGAAUCAGCAUGUGUGUUAGUGGAAGCGUCUGGAAAGGCGCGCGAUACAGGGUGACAGCCCCGUACACAAAAGCGCAUGUGCUGUGAGCUCGAUGAGUAGGGCGGGACACGUGGUAUCCUGUCUGAAUAUGGGGGGACCAUCCUCCAAGGCUAAAUACUCCUGACUGACCGAUAGUGAACCAGUACCGUGAGGGAAAGGCGAAAAGAACCCCGGCGAGGGGAGUGAAAAAGAACCUGAAACCGUGUACGUACAAGCAGUGGGAGCACAGGUUUACCUGUGUGACUGCGUACCUUUUGUAUAAUGGGUCAGCGACUUAUAUUCUGUAGCAAGGUUAACCGCAUAGGGGAGCCGGAGGGAAACCGAGUCUUAAUUGGGCGUUAAGUUGCAGGGUAUAGACCCGAAACCCGGUGAUCUAGCCAUGGGCAGGUUG
rnacentral:rRNA from 1 species